AUUUUGCUUUGCCCACAGCCAGGCUGCAGAGCUUGCUGGGACAUCCUGGAACUGAUGUUUUGCGGGCCAAGUUCGAGAGCAAGUGCUACUCCUAUCCUGAUCAACAAAUAGUGUCCUAAUUCACACACAAGCAGCAAAUGAGUGGCAAAUCUAUGUUUUGACUUCAGAGUACAGCUGUCUUCCAUGAUGGAACUCAAGGUGGCUUGUGUACAGAUCCUAGAAAUUUUAUCAUCCAAGCACUGACCAGACCCAGAAGUUAAUCAAAGUGGCUUAUCUUCAGCAAGAUUCUGCUGCUUCAUGUGCCUUCAGACCUUGCCCUAGGACUCAACAUUCAAGAAGAUACAAUUCAGAAGGUUUAUAAUAUGGAUUGAGAUCAAAGGAAAUUGUCUCCUUCAAUGUGGUUAAAGAAAUGGACUUUCACUCCAAGUAUUUGGGCUUACCUGAGUUGUGGAUCAGAGCUGGGAUCAAAUAAAGAUUAAAGGGAGACAUGAUAACCAUGUAAAUAUUUAAACAGUUGCUCUAAAGAAUUAAAGAAAAGUACUCUGCUGCCAUAAGCAAUAUGGCAAAAGACAAUUGGCUUUUAUAAUAAAAUAGAUGUAGGGAUUUUUUAAAAUCCCAAUGGCAGCUGGACCAUGGAAUAUGUGGCCCAAUUAAACUGCAAGAUAUCUUCUAUGGGAAGUUUCAAGAAACAUUUCAAGAAAAAUAAUGUGAUUGCUGACCGACAAGGUUUUGGUUUAGUUAUAGUGAAUCUUACUUCAAAACAAGGGUUUGAUAGAUGAUGCUUCAGAGUUAAAGAUUCCCUACAUAUAGGGUGUAAGGAAGCAAAGGCAAUUGUCUCCUUGAUUGUGUUUAAAGAAAUGGCGCUCUCACCUAUCCUGAGAUUGAUACCUUGUAAUCAGUGGGUGAAUGGGCCCUACCAACACAAAGCUGGAGCUCCCAACUUGGACAAAAGGCAGUGGCUGACAUAAUGACUAAUUCAAUUGUACUAUUUUUUAUUUAUUUAAACAUAUUUCUUAUACCGCCCAAAACUCACAUCUCUGGAGUUUACUUCUCUGAACUACUACUCAUGAGUUAAUCUAGAGGACUACUAAAUUUUAGUAGAACUUCCUCUAGUAAAUUUAGACAGGAUAUCAGGCAGCUACUAUAUAUAUUUAAAUAUUGGAGCUUUGUAAUUAUGCAGAUUAAUUUGAAAUUAUCUCAAGCAAAACCAUUGUUUCAAAGAAUGAGAAUAUUAUUUCAGGAUAAGGGUAAUGCUGAGCAAUAUGUAGAGGCCCUUUAAGAGGGUCUGGAGCCUAGGAUUCUCUCACUUGGAGACCAAAAGACUUGAGUCCUAUUCAGAUGGUGAAAAACCAGGAUGCAUACUUGUGUAUGCAGACCCGAGCAGACCCAGAAGUCCCGUCCCAUCACUUACUGCCACUUCUUGCACUGCUCAUGA